GAAAUGCGAUACCUGGUGUGAAUUGCAGAAUCCCGCGAACCAUCGAGUCCUUUGAACGCAAGUUGCGCCCGAGGCCUUCUGGCCACGCCAAACACGCUCCCACCCCACUAAACAUUGGGCGGGAUGCGGCAUGUGGCUCUCCGUCUCACAAGGGGCGGUGGGCCGAAGAUCCGGCUGCCGGCGUAUCGUGCCGGACACAGCGCUUGGUAGGCGAUCUCGCUAUACUAAAUGCAGUGCAUCCGGGACGUAGCGACGCAAUGCCCUCAAUGGACCCUAUUAACGGAGCGCACGACGUUUCGACCGCGACCCCAGGUCAGGCGGGACUACCCGCUGAAUUUAA
rnacentral:rRNA from 1 species